GACGCCGCUACCGUCCCGGUUGUCAUAUGUGUUAUUAGUUUGUGUUUGCGAUGUGAUGAAAUUGCGUGCGGGUUAUUUUUUUUUAAUUGGGGUGCUUUCUUCAUAUUGAUUGGACACCAGAUUUCGAUUGCUCCACCGGCCACUGUCUGGAAUUCUUCUCGCUAUCUCGUAGGUGGAAUAAUUGGUUUCUGGAUGACAAGGUAAGUGUCAUUAUCCAUCAGCCGAGAGGAUUUUUGCCUUUUAGAGUCAAGGUAAGUUCUUUGUUGACUUUUAAAGAGAAGUAGAAUUGUUCAAAUUAUGAUGAUGACGAUUUGGGGACAGGUUUUUGUCUAAAUAUUCGUUUACUAUUGUAGUCUUGAUUACAUUUGUGACUUUUCUGUGGCGAAGUCUCACGAGGAAGAUGGAAACUGACGUUGUUCGUGAAUUCCAUAGAUCUACUAACACAUUUACCGACUAGCAGUCACGUCCGUCGUGAAGGGAUAGCUUUUAAGGCCGAGAGUUUAUAUUUACAGGUAUCUAAAUUUACAAGAGAUGAGGCUGAAAGCCU